rnacentral:rRNA from 1 species
UGGGUAACCUGCCUCAAAGAGGGGAAUAGCCUCCCGAAAGGGAGAUUAAUACCGCAUAAUAUGUUUUAGUCGCAUGACUUAAAACAUCAAAGGAUUUUUCUUUUUAGAAAAUUUCCACUUUGAGAUGGACCCGCGGCGCAUUAGCUAGUUGGUGAGGUAACGGCUCACCAAGGCAACGAUGCGUAGCCGACCUGAGAGGGUGAUCGGCCACAUUGGAACUGAGACACGGUCCAGACCUCCGUAGGGACGG